AACGAACGCUGGCGGCAUGCCUAACACAUGCAAGUCGAACGAGGCCUUCGGGUCUAGUGGCGCACGGGUGCGUAACGCGUGGGAAUCUGCCCUUGGGUUCGGAAUAACAGUUAGAAAUGACUGCUAAUACCGGAUGAUGGCUUCGGACCAAAGAUUUAUCGCCCAGGGAUGAGCCCGCGUCGGAUUAGCUAGUUGGUAGAGUAAAAGCCUACCAAGGCGACGAUCCGUAGCUGGUCUGAGAGGAUGAUCAGCCACACUGGGACUGAGACACGGCCCAGACUCCUACGGGAGGCAGCAGUGGAGAAUAUUGGACAAUGGGCGAAAGCCUGAUCCAGCAAUGCCGCGUGAGUGAUGAAGGCCUUAGGGUUGUAAAGCUCUUUCACCCGGGAUGAUAAUGACAGUACCGGGAGAAUAAGCCCCGGCUAACUCCGUGCCAGCAGCCGCGGUAACAC
rnacentral:rRNA from 1 species